GUAAAUAAUUUUUUUGUAGCAGCAUAAAAGCAAAAUAAAUUCAUACAUACUGUAAUACAGUAAGCCAGAGUAUUUAAUUUAAUUUACAAUAACCAGUGGGCCCCUAAAUAACCAAAAGUAAGGAAGACUGUGAACCUACAGUUUGGAGGAUGCAAAUCCAAUGGUAGCCUCGAUAAAAUUAGCUAUCUACAGCCUAUUUUGAGCCUGAAAUGGGUGGAAAUGACGGUGCUGGGAUUAUAUAAUCCCAGUGAGUAAACAAAGGCCAUCUAAAAUAUCUUAAACCGAGUAAAUGGAGAUAGAUAAAAUAGUUUAACAUACUGUAAUUCAUCACCUUUCAACUUGUUUCAUCCAAAUAAAAUCAAUUCAUAUAAAUCGAGUAAUCAACAUGGCUUAUGAGUAUCUUAAAACUUUGGCUCAUGCUAAAAUCAUUCUCAUAUCUAGUUAUCAGGGAUACCUUGAUCGAGGGCUAUCCCAACCGAGUCCACCAAGGCUGUCAAAAAGUCAUGUACGUAUAAAUCAUGUUUUUAUUUUGAAAACAUAGCCGUUCCUUGGCGUUGGCCGAGUUCACCCUCACGUGGUGGUUUUGCGUGAAGUGAAAGUCUAAAGUUAUACCUCGAAAGUUACCCUACUCGCCUCUCCAACUGAGGUAAAAUAUAACGGGAUUCCGUUUCCCUCUAAUAGGUUGGUCUAUAAAAAACCCUCCCACUACAGCAAAUUAAUCCCACCAUACAAUAAAAUUUGCAAUAGCAUGACAUGGCAAUUAUUUUAUUUUAUUUUACAGCCUUUCAAGGCAAAUAAAUAAUUUAUACAUUUCUAGCACAUUUAUCAAAUCAACCGUUCAUGCCAAUAUUGUCGUAAGCCAAUCAAUUAGAAUCAUGAAUUUACAACACAAAAAAACAGUAUCCAAUUACUCUAUUUUCAAACCAUCAUUCAAUUUUAAAACAAUUUUAUGAAAUCAUUUCAUUAACUCACAUUUUGUUUAUAAAAUCGAAAAAUUAAUCAUUUAAUUUAUUUUUCAUAAAAUUCACAAAAUCGAAUAAAACACACUUCAGAUAAUUAAGAUGAUGAUAAGGUUACUCACUAUUUCGGGAGUCAAAUUCCAAGUACUCCGAUUCUUGAUCCUCGGGUACUAUCUCUUUACUUUUGCCAGAAUGCUCACCACCUAGACAUAAUGCACAAUAAGCCAUUUACUACUUUGUGCUAAAUUGUUAUAAAACCAAUUCAGGCUUUAUACUAAUGUAUGAAAUGGGAUGCAAAUUGUUCGGAUUAUUGUCCAAACAUGGUGUUCUACACAAAUUCAAUUGUGUACCUAAAUUAAACGGUAUUGGCCUAAUUCGAUCUAUCACUCGAUUAAUUGGCCAAUACGUCUAAUUCAACUCCAAAUAAUUUUGUUUUUCUCUCAAUACUCCAAAUCAUCAAACACAAAUUAAAUAACUUGAAAUAUGACAAAAUCAUCCUGACAUUUUUCUUGGAAAAUUCGGCCAUGGUGGGUGCAUCAACACUAUAAUUUUUCCUACUUGAUUCUCACACCAUAAUUCACUAAUUCCUAGCCAAAUCACUUGAAAUAAAAUCAAAAUCAUCAUCAAUAUUCUACAUGGAGAAUUCGGCCAACAAUGGGUCAUGGGAGAACAUGAAUUUUUCUUGCUUGAUUUUCAUGCUACACAUCACCAAUCAACUAAAAACACUAUAAUACAUUAAAAUCUAACCAAAUCAAGCAUCAAAACCUCUCUUUUAGGGUUUGAUCAGCACACUAUCCUUCAUGAUAUCUUGUGAUUCAACCAUGGAAAAUGCAAAAUAAUGCAUGGGAAAGGUAGAUCACAAGUCAAAAUCAAGAAAUUUUACCUUUGAUUGCUUGAUUACUUGAAAUCCACCAAUUUUCUCUUGAAUUUUCACCCUGGGGUUCUUGUUCU
rnacentral:lncRNA from 1 species